AUGAUGGUGAGGAUAAAGCUCUGAUCUUUAAGCAAACAGUCGCUAAUCUUGAAGUGGGUUUAGUGUAAUGGUACCAAAGAGAAGAAGAGCUAGAGACUGAGAGUGCGCUGGUCAUUGUUGAGUUUGGUUGUGCUGGAGGUUGAGGCUAGAGAUGCACAAAAGAUCUGUUCGGGCCAGAUCCAGACCGGGCCAAAAAAAUCCGGAUUUUUUUGAAACCAGAUCGGACCGGGCUUUUUCAAAAAUCGGGCCGGACCGGGCCGGGCUUUCCCAAAAAUACUAGGCCUGGUUUAGUUAUAAAAAGCCCGGAUUUUUCAAAAAUCCGGAUUUUUUUGAAACCAGAUCGGACCGGGCUUUUUCAAAAAUCGGGCCGGACCGGGCCGGGCUUUCCCAAAAAUACUAGGCCUGGUUUAGUUAUAAAAAGCCCGGAUUUUUCAAAAAUCCGGAUUUUAUCCGGAUUUUUUGGAAAAUACUAGGCCUAUUUUAGGCCUUCGGAUCGGGCCGGGCCAGACCGGGUUUUUUUCGGAUCGGGUUUUUCAGAUUUUUUUCCAGAUCAGAUCGGAUCGGAUUUCAGAUUUCAGAUUUUUUGAACAUCUCUAGUUGAGGCCAUGGUUUUUUUCAGAAUGUGGUGGAUUUGUUUGGUGUGGGUGCAUGAAUUGAGCCACUCGUUUGAGCUGAGCCCUUUAUCUUUUGGGGUCCAAUCAAAUUGUUCUUCAAAUGGGUCGAGUGGAAUCGGGUCAUGGGUCCAAU
rnacentral:lncRNA from 1 species